rnacentral:rRNA from 1 species
GACGAACCGUGCAAACGUUAUUCGGAAUCACUGGGCUUAAAGCGCGUGUAGGCGGAUGGGGACGUCGGUCGCUGAAAUCCCCCGGCUCAACCGGGGAACGGGCGCCGAAACGCCCUGUCUGGAGGGACGUAGGGGGACCUGGAACUUCCGGUGGAGCGGUGAAAUGCGUUGAGAUCGGAAGGAACGCCCGUGGCGAAAGCGAGGUCCUGGACGUUUUCUGACGCUGAGACGCGAAAGCUAGGGUAGCGAACGGG